ACAUAGUGAUAUGUUUCCUCUCUACAGCUCAAUCGUCUCGACUUCCUUUGGUUCUCUGGAAAAUAGAAAUUGUUACGAAAAUCCUGCCAUCACUUUUUAUUUGCACCGUCAAUCUCUCUUCGUAUUCUUCCCUUAGAUCCAAUGUUUCAAACAAAUACAUAACUGCAAAAUUUUCAGAUUCAAUCACCAAGCCAACAGGCCAAGCAGUUUCCUUCCUCUUCCGCCAUCUCGGCGCUAAUCAGUAAGGAUUCGAUCAGUGCAAAGAAACGAAGCAUUGGAUUUGGGUAGCAGGUGUGCAAGCUUCUAUGCGCCUCCCCUAAUCAAUCAGGUUCCAUCUCUCUCUUUUUUCUCUCUCUCUCUCUCAAUAUCAUGCAUCUCCCCGUAUGAUGCAUUGCAUUCGUCGGAGCUGUUUAGUAGGUUCGGAGGUGCAGACACAAGGUAAGAUUAUUCCAACUCUCUCGAAACUGCUCAGAUGCUUAGUAUAGACACAUAAGCUUCCAUUUAUUGUUAUCUUUUAUUUGAUCCAUGUCUUCUUACAGUGUCUAACAAAGAGAUCUCGAACUGGAUUAUGUAUGAAUUCGUUGGCCUUCUAGGAUUUCGUGUGAGAUUACUUGAAAUCAAUCAAGUAUUGGAAUCAAUCCGUCAAGCUUUUCCCCACCAGAAACUGGAUAAAGAUUAUUCCGAGUCUCUCAGAUGCUUAGUACAGCCACGUCAAGUGGAAUCUGUGAUUCCUCCGAUCGUCGGAAUAUACGUCUCCCCCAUCUUCCCCACUCCAUAAGACCCUCUUUCCUCUGUUUUGACCUUUCCUCACAAAAGCUUCUGAACUUUUGUACAAAGUUGGAUAAUUGGUCACUUCACAGAGUCUGCAGAAGCUACUGCGCAGAAAAAAACUGAAGCAGUCCUUUCAAAUGACUACUAUGAGUCAGACAUUGCAUGGAUGGACUUGGCUUCAUUUGAAUCCGAGAUGAUAAAGCCACAACUGAUCUGAAACUCUUUGGUGUCAAUCUAAAGCUAUUGGAAGACAAUCUCCCGCUUAACAGAGUUACAAAUUAAAAGAUGUGUCUGCUGCUCCAAUUCGUUUCUUUCAGUGACAUGAAAGGGUCGUUGGUCGGAUUUCACUGAGUAUCAAAACGAAGCUGCAAAAGCAGAAGUUACACGAUGAAGAAUCUGGAGCUGAGUAAAACUGAAGAUUAGCAGCUGCGGACAAGCCGGACGAGUCUUAUGACUGAUGAUAGGAGUUUACAAACGACGUAAUAUCUUUGAGGAUAUGAGCAUACAUACAUGACACUAAAAGAGAUUGCGGAUAGAAAGCUUGGGAACACCAAGAAGCCAUAAAAUGAAAACAAAAGAAAACAUUAUUAUAUGGAGUAAGCUUCUUACUACAAUAAGUUAAUUCUUUUAGUACUUAAGUGCUGCUUUUAUUUUUUUCGAAAGAGCACCUAUCUUUUAUAUUUAAUAGUUUCCUACAAAAUAUAGAAAAGACUAAAUCAUUAUUCAUUUUUUUUGUCAAC